rnacentral:rRNA from 1 species
AUUGAACGCUGGCGGCAUGCUUUACACAUGCAAGUCGAACGGUAACAGGCCGCAAGGUGCUGACGAGUGGCGAACGGGUGAGUAAUGCAUCGGAACGUGCCCAGUCGUGGGGGAUCACGCAGCGAAAGCUGCGCUAAUACCGCAUACGAUCUAUGGAUGAAAGCGGGGGACCGUAAGGUCUCGCGCGAUUGGAGCGGCUCACUACAGAUUAGGUAGGUGGUGGGGUAAAGGCUCACCAAGGCGACGAUCUGUAGCUGGUCUGAGAGGACGACCAGCCACACGUGGACUGAGACACGGCCCAGACUCCUACGGGAGGCAGCAGUGGGGAAUUUUGGACAAUGGGCGCAAGACUGAUCCAGCAAUGCCGCGUGCAGGAAGAAGGCCUUCGGGUUGUAAACUGCUUUUGUACGGAACGAAAAGGCUCUGGUUAAUACCUGGGGCUCAUGACGGUACCGUAAGAAUAAGCACCGGCUAACUACGUGCCAGCAGCCGCCGCCGUAA